AACACUGUUAACCUGCGGUACCUGCGGAAGGAUCAUUACCGAGUGUGGUCCCAUAAGGGGCGCCUCCCGUCCUUUGCAGGGCCUUUAGGGGCUUUUUGACUUUGCUUCGGCGGGCUUGCCCCGCCGGAACACCCUCAAGAAAAUCUUUAUGAACCGUUUGUCUGAGUUGCUUGCGAAUAAAAACAAAACUUUUAACAAUGGAUCU
rnacentral:misc_RNA from 1 species